rnacentral:rRNA from 1 species
UACGUAGGGGCCGAGCGUUGUCCGGAAUUACUGGGCGUAAAGCAUGCGCAGGCGGUUUUGUAAGCCAGGUGUGAAAUCCCCGGGCUUAACCUGGGAAUUGCAUUUGGGACUGCAAGGCUGGAGUGUGGCAGAGGAGACUGGAAUUCCUGGUGUAGCAGUGAAAUGCGUAGAUAUCAGGAGGAAUACCGAUGGCGAAGGCAGGUCUCUGGGCUGACACUGACGCUCAUGCACGAAAGCGUGGGGAGCAAACAGG